GUGUGUGUGUGUGUGUGUGUAUUUAGCAGACUGUGUACUCAGCAGUCUGCUAAAUACAGACAGACUGCUAAAUACACAUACAGACAG